rnacentral:rRNA from 1 species
AUGAACGCUAGCUACAGGCUUAACACAUGCAAGUCGAGGGGCAGCAUGGUCUUAGCUUGCUAAGGCCGAUGGCGACCGGCGCACGGGUGAGUAACACGUAUCCAACCUGCCGUCUACUCUUGGACAGCCUUCUGAAAGGAAGAUUAAUACAAGAUGGCAUCAUGAGUCCGCAUGUUCACAUGAUUAAAGGUAUUCCGGUAGACGAUGGGGAUGCGUUCCAUUAGAUAGUAGGCGGGGUAACGGCCCACCUAGUCUUCGAUGGAUAGGGGUUCUGAGAGGAAGGUCCCCCACAUUGGAACUGAGACACGGUCCAAACUCCUACGGGAGGCAGCAGUGAGGAAUAUUGGUCAAUGGGCGAGAGCCUGAACCAGCCAAGUAGCGUGAAGGAUGACUGCCCUAUGGGUUGUAAACUUCUUUUAUAAAGGAAUAAAGUCGGGUAUGGAUACCCGUUUGCAUGUACUUUAUGAAUAAGGAUCGGCUAACUCCGUGCCAGCAGCCGCGGUAAUACAGAGGAUCCGAGCGUUAUCCGGAUUUAUUGGGUUUAAAGGGAGCGUAGAUGGAUGUUUAAGUCAGUUGUGAAAGUUUGCGGCUCAACCGUAAAAUUGCAGUUGAUACUGGAUAUCUUGAGUGCAGUUGAGGCAGGCGGAAUUCGUGGUGUAGCGGUGAAAUGCUUAGAUAUCACGAAGAACUCCGAUUGCGAAGGCAGCCUGCUAAGCUGCAACUGACAUUGAGGCUCGAAAGUGUGGGUAUCAAACAGGAUUAGAUACCCUGGUAGUCCACACGGUAAACGAUGAAUACUCGCUGUUUGCGAUAUACUGCAAGCGGCCAAGCGAAAGCGUUAAGUAUUCCACCUGGGGAGUACGCCGGCAACGGUGAAACUCAAAGGAAUUGACGGGGGCCCGCACAAGCGGAGGAACAUGUGGUUUAAUUCGAUGAUACGCGAGGAACCUUACCCGGGCUUAAAUUGCAGAUGAAUUACGGUGAAAGCCGUAAGCCGCAAGGCAUCUGUGAAGGUGCUGCAUGGUUGUCGUCAGCUCGUGCCGUGAGGUGUCGGCUUAAGUGCCAUAACGAGCGCAACCCUUGUUGUCAGUUACUAACAGGUUCCGCUGAGGACUCUGACAAGACUGCCAUCGUAAGAUGUGAGGAAGGUGGGGAUGACGUCAAAUCAGCACGGCCCUUACGUCCGGGGCUACACACGUGUUACAAUGGGGGGUACAGAGGGUCGCUACCACGCGAGUGGAUGCCAAUCCCCAAAACCUCUCUCAGUUCGGACUGGAGUCUGCAACCCGACUCCACGAAGCUGGAUUCGCUAGUAAUCGCGCAUCAGCCACGGCGCGGUGAAUACGUUCCCGGGCCUUGUACACACCGCCCGUCAAGCCAUGGGAGCCGGGGGUACCUGAAGUGCGUAACCGCGAGGAGCGCCCUAGGGUAAAACUGGUGACUGGGGCU